rnacentral:lncRNA from 1 species
UCCUCCCACCCCCACCCCACCCAACACACAUGCACUGGCCUGGAAUAGCACACUGGUUCCUUCAGCCAGGUCGCUCUGAUAGAGAGGCACAUGUAAAUAACUUGAUGGGUCGAUCCUGCAGUAUCCCGCAGUGUAGAGAAAGUUCUCUGGGCCUCUGCACACAUCAUAAUCCGAUUUUCCUGACGGAUCUCCAUUUUCUGUAGCCUAGUGCAGUGUGAAUGCUAAACACCUCUCUGUGGACUAGGGUCUUUUCAGAGCUGAUUUAGGAGUAUGGGUGGGAGAUUAGGAACCCCCAGAAAAGUAUCCCCCAACCCCUGAAAAAAAAGGGGGGUGGGGUUGGCGGCUGCUCUGUGUUUGUUUGUGUUAGAUGAAGGAUAACUCUGCCUGUUGUCAGCCUGCCUGGGCACUGUGGGAACCAUUCUUCAGUGAUCUGCCCGUUUAUCAAGCUAGGAAGCUGGGUGCUACCUCCCCAUAAUGACCC